rnacentral:rRNA from 1 species
GACGAACGCUGGCGGCGUGCUUAACACAUGCAAGUCGAACGGUAAGGCCUUCGGGUACACGAGUGGCGAGCGGGUGAGUAACACGUGGGUGAUCUGCCCCCUACUCUGGGAUAAGCCUGGGAAACUGGGUCUAAUACCGGAUAUGACCAACUUCUGCAUGGUUGUUGGUGGAAAGUUUUUUCGGUAGGGGAUGAGCCCGCGGCCUAUCAGCUUGUUGGUGGGGUAAUGGCCUACCAAGGCGACGACGGGUAGCCGGCCUGAGAGGGCGACCGGCCACACUGGGACUGAGACACGGCCCAGACUCCUACGGGAGGCAGCAGUGGGGAAUAUUGCACAAUGGGCGAAAGCCUGAUGCAGCGACGCCGCGUGGGGGAUGACGGCCUUCGGGUUGUAAACCCCUUUCAGUCGGGACGAAGCGAGAGUGACGGUACCGAUAGAAGAAGCACCGGCCAACUACGUGCCAGCAGCCGCAGUAACAC